GUAAGGGAUAUUGCGACAAUGGACGAAAGUCUGACGCAGCAACGCCGCGUGCGGGAUGACGGCCUUCGGGUUGUAAACCGCUUUUCGGGGGGAAGAGGAAGGACGGUACCCCCGGAAUAAGUCUCGGCUAACUACGUGCCAGCAGCCGCGGUAAAACGUAGGAGGCGAGCGUUAUCCGGAUUUACUGGGUGUAAAGCGCGUGCAGGCGGUUCUGCAAGUCGUGCGUGAAAGCGCCCGGCUCAACCGGGCGAGGUCGUGCGAAACUGCAGAGCUAGAGGUAGGUAGAGGCGUGUGGAAUUCCGGGUGUAGUGGUGAAAUGCGUAGAGAUCCGGAGGAACACCAGUGGCGAAGGCGACACGCUGGGCCUGACCUGACGCUCAGACGCGAAAGCAUGGGUAGCGAACGGGAUUAGAAACCCUGGUAGUCC
rnacentral:rRNA from 1 species